rnacentral:tRNA from 1 species
CGGAAUAUGGUGUAAUGGUAGCACCUAUCACUUUGGAUGAUACAGUAUAGGUUCGAAUCCUGUUGUUCCGA